GGCUCAUUGGUCUAGUGGUAUGAUUCCUGCUUUGGGUGUAGGAGUUAAGUGUAGGAGUCAUUCGGGUUCAAAUCCCGGAUGAGCCC
rnacentral:tRNA from 1 species